rnacentral:rRNA from 1 species
GACGAACGCUGGCGGCGUGCUUAACACAUGCGAGUCGAACGGAAAGGCCUCUUUCGGGGGGUACUCGAGUGGCGAACGGGUGAGUAACACGUGAGUAACCUGCCCUUGACUUUGGGAUAACUUCCGGAAACUGGGGCUAAUACCGGAUAGGAGCUCCUGCUGCCUGGUGGGGGUUGGAAAGUUUCGGCGGUUGGGGAUGGACUCGCGGCUUAUCAGCUUGUUGGUGGGGUAGUGGCUUACCAAGGCUUUGACGGGUAGCCGGCCUGAGAGGGUGACCGGCCACAUUGGGACUGAGAUACGGCCCAGACUCCGACGGGAGGCAGCAGUGGGGAAUAUUGCACAAUGGGUGGAAGCCUGAUGCAGCAACGCCGUGUGCGGGAUGACGGCCUUCGGGUUGUAAACCGCUUUCGCUCAUGACGAAGCUUUGUGUGACGGUAGUGGGUAAAGAAGCACCGGCUAACUACGUG